CCUGAUUGAUUCUGUCAGCGCGAUAUGCUCAAGUAAAAGAUUAAGCCAUGCAUGCUUUGAUUCAUCAAUGAAAUUGCGUACGGCUCAUUAGAGCAGAUAUCACCUUGUUCGGAAUAUUAUAUGGAUAACUGCGGAAAUACUGGAGCUAAUACAUGUCAUACAUCCCCAACGUAAGGCGGGGUGCAAUUAUUAGAACAGACCAAACGUUUUCGGACGUUGUUUGUUGACUCUGAAUAAAGCAGUUUACUGUCAGUUUCGACUGACUCUAUCCGAAAAGGGUGUCUGCCCUUUCAACUAGAUGGUAGUUUAUUGGACUACCAUGGUUGUUACGGGUAACGGAGAAUAAGGGUUCGACUCCGGAGAGGGAGCCUUAGAAACGGCUACCACGUCCAAGGAAGGCAGCAGGCGCGAAACUUAUCCACUGUUGAGUAUGAGAUAGUGACUAAAAAUAUAAAGACUCAUCCUUUUGGAUGAGUUAUUUCAAUGAGUUGAAUACAAAUGAUUCUUCGAGUAGCAAGGAGAGGGCAAGUCUGGUGCCAGCAGCCGCGGUAAUUCCAGCUCUCCUAGUGUAUCUCGUUAUUGCUGCGGUUAAAAAGCUCGUAGUUGGAUCUAGGUUACGUGCUGCAGUUCGCAAUUUGCGUCAACUGUAGUCGUGACUUCUAAUUUGCUGGUUUGAGGUUGGGUUCGCCCUUCAACUGCCAGCAGGUUUACCUUGAAUAAAUCAGAGUGCUCAAAACAAGUGUUUGCUUGAAUAGCUCAUCAUGGAAUAAUGAAACAGGACUUCGGUUCUUUUUGUUGGUUCUAGAACUGAUUUAAUGGUUAAGAGGGACAAACCGGGGGCAUUCGUAUCAUUACGCGAGAGGUGAAAUUCGUGGACCGUAGUGAGACGCCCAACAGCGAAAGCAUUUGCCAAGAAUGUCUUCAUUAAUCAAGAACGAAAGUCAGAGGUUCGAAGGCGAUUAGAUACCGCCCUAGUUCUGACCGUAAACGAUGCCAUCUCGCGAUUCGGAGGGUUUUUGCCCUGCCGAGGAGCUAUCCGGAAACGAAAGUCUUUCGGUUCCGGGGGUAGUAUGGUUGCAAAGCUGAAACUUAAAGAAAUUGACGGAAGGGCACCACAAGGCGUGGAGCUUGCGGCUUAAUUUGACUCAACACGGGAAAACUCACCCGGUCCGGACACCAUUAGGACUGACAGAUUGAAAGCUCUUUCUCGAUUUGGUGGUUGGUGGUGCAUGGCCGUUCUUAGUUGG
rnacentral:rRNA from 1 species